CAGCCAGCAAAUGUAACUUUCCGUCGGAAAGUGAGGCAACAGCAACAGUGUUUGUGUGCGUGGCUGCCACAAUGUUGCCGCCCCCGAUCGCUGCCAAUCUGUGUCACCAAGCCCCCGUGUUGGACGGCGCGGCGCGUCCCCCAGGAUGCCCAGGACGACACCCUACUCCGGCGGAGCGGACCCGUCCAGGAAGCGGAAGGACGACAAGCUGCAUGGCCUCGAUCCGGGACAACCCUUCUGUGUGUUGCAACUGACCCACAUUUUGGCAGCGCUGCAGCCACUUCCGCCACCGGUCAUGCCAGACCGGUAUGACGCAGGUUUGGCCGGCUGCGACACCUCGGGGCCGUCGGCGGCCGUCGGGCCAGGGCC